rnacentral:lncRNA from 1 species
AAAUGACAGCUAUGCGUGAAGAUCUCCAGAAAGGGCAGGAAUACACAAAUUGUCUUUUUCAGCUGCUCAGAGAAGACCUGAACAAGGAACAGGGAAAGACAGAAAAGAAAAAUACCCCAAAUCCUCAGGGAUCCGGGAGUGAGGAGACCCUUCUGCAGUUCUGCAAACAAAUGAAAACUAUGUGUGAAGAUCUCCAGAAAGGGCAGGAAUCCACAAAGCAGGAUAUUCAGCUGCUCAGAGCAGACCUGAACAAAGAACUAGACAGGAAAAUGAAGAAAAUGGCAAAGGCCCAGGAAUCCAAGAUGGACAAGAAACUCCAGCAGCUCUUCCAGAGAAUUCUGGAACGUGAAUUACAUGGGAUGCAGCACAUCCUUCAGCUCCCCAGAGCAGAAAUGGAGAUAGAACAAGGUGAGCAGGGCCAUUCCCAAGCACUUCCAUCUCUCUCAACACCAAAGCUGCACUACAGGCAAACCACCCUGAGAGCUCGUCCUGCACAGCUCCUCAAAGGGGAUGGAGAAGGACGGCCCUGACAUGGGGAGAGGCCCAGAGAAGCUGCCUUCAGUCCUGGGAAUCACCACCACAAUCCAUCCCGUGACUAAAGGCCACUUCUCUGGGCCUCUGCACACGAGGAACAAACAGCUUUUGUGAUCCGUGACACUGAAACAGCUCCAUGCUGAAGUGUUCCCUGCAGGGGGUCAAGGCCCCUCUUCUCUCCCUUGUCUUUGAGGGCAGUGAGGACAGCUCUGACCCGAUGGGUGCUAAAGGUGUCCACUGCCAGUCCUCCCACGCACUCACCUUCCUCAUGACAGAGGGUUGUCUCCCAUGGCCCACGGAUGCUGUCUGCAGACAUGGAGGGGGAUGAUCCCUACCCCCCAUCCUGCCCCCCAGGCCUUUGCCAAGGCCUCAGGAAGGCUCACAGGGCCUGGGCUCUUUCCCCAGCCCUGCUGCACUCAACCCAUCCAAGCAAUUCAAGGAACCUGGUCAGGAAUAAGGGCAGGCACCAGUCCAGGCUCAGGGCUGACCCUCUGGCAAGCAGCUGUGCAGAGAAGGCCCUGGGGGUUCUGGUGGACAGAGAGCUGGCCAAGGGUCAGCAAUGGCCAAGAAGGCCCAAGGCUGCCUGGGCUGCCUUCGGAAGAGCUUUGCCAGCAGGCCAAGGGAGGAGCAGCCCUGGUGAGGCCCAUCUGGAGUGCUGUGUCCAGUGCUGGGUUCCUCAGUACAAGGGAAACAUGGAGCUCCUGCAGCGGGUCCAGCUGAGGCUGCAGAGAUGAUCAGGGGCUGGAGAGGCUGAGGGAGCUGGGCCUGUUUAGUCUGGAGAAGAGAAGUCUGAGAGGGGACGUCAUCAGUGGACACAAGUGUUUGAAGGGUCAGGAGGAUGGAGCCAGGCUCUUCUGGGUGGUGCUGAGUGACAGGAUGGGAGGCAAUGGGCAGAAAGGGAAACAAAGCAAUUUCCACCUGAACACGAGGAAGAACUUCAUUACUGUGAGGGUGACUCAGCACUGGGACCAGUUCCUAGAGAGAUUGUGGAGAUAUCCUUGGAGAUAUUCAAAAUCCCUGGAGGAGGUUCUGGCCACCCAGCUCCAGGUGUCCCAUCUGGGUUGGACCAGAUGGUCUCUGGAGGUCCCUUGCAACCUCUCCUUGUCUGUGUUUCUGUGAUUCUGUACAGGGCACGAGACAUCUGAAAACACAAGUUUCAGAACCUACGAAGUCAGAUGUAGCUGGAUCUCUACCCAGUUCCUGUGUGUGUUUAAUUUUCACUUCCUCUUGGCUCUUUAAUCUUUUGCAGGUGUGCUGAUAGAAAGUGCAUCAGAAGAUGAGGGCACUGAUGUAGAUGCAUAGACAACUCCUGAGCAGGUGAAGCAUUGAUCAACAAAAUUAGUCUGGCUCUCAUUACAUUUCUCUUGAGCUUGGCCCCCCACCCCCUGCACUCCCUGGGCUCGCUGUGUUGGGAAGUGCUCAUGCUGCCAGAAGACAGACAAUUGUUAGGGCUUUUCUCCCUCCUGUGAGCUGGUUCCUCCUGUGCCAGGGCAGAUCCAUCCACUGCCCGGUUUCAACAAGUGAAAGCAACAGCAGCCAAAGUGCAACCCAGAGCAGAGCUGAAUUACCCAGCGAGCUCUACACAAAAUCUCAGGCAGAGUCCUGGGAAUCCUGGAUUUUAAGUGGUUUAACAUUUUGUGUGUGUGAAGAAUCUGGGAUGUACAGCAGUGGGGAACCAUUUCACCCGGAGAAUGAAGUGUUCAGUUGCAAUCCUGAUUUUUCUGUGACAUGUUUACUACACUCGCAUUACCUGUCUUCUUUCCUGCUUCUGUUUUUAGUUAAUGUGUACAGCACAAGUGUAGAAUUAGCAUGUUCCUCCUGAGGCCGGGGCAACACCUGUCUUCCAAGGGUGCCUGUGCCCUGCGCAGGCAGAGGAGUUCCCUUAGAGUAAGAGAACCACCACUGUGCCCCGCUAGUUGGGCACCAUCUGUCACAGUCGCAGGGGAGAGAAGCCGCGACAGCCGGGGGUUCGUGCAGAGUGGUAGCUCGAAGCUAUUGCAGCCUUAUUAGGGUGUGCCACCCCUAUUUAUAGGGCGGCAGGAGAAGGUUCCAGAAACCAGGGAGGAGCAUAGGACAGGCAGGGACAUGGACCAGUCAGAAGGGAAAGGAGGGAAUAAGGGAGAAAUAGGAGCCAAUAAGGAAAACAUCUGCAAUGCAGCAGAUUGCAGCCAGUCAGAAAAUAGGUAAUAAACAUGAGGAGAAAACUGUGAAAACA